rnacentral:rRNA from 1 species
CCUACGGGGUGCAGCAGUGGGGAAUAUUGGGUAAUGGGCGCAAGCCUGACCCAGCAAUGCCGCGUGAAGGAAGAAGGCUUUCGGGUUGUAAACUUCUUUGCCAGGGGACGAGCAGAAGACGGUACCCUGAAAACAAGCCACGGCUAACUACGUGCCAGCAGCCGCGGUAAUACGUAGGUGGCAAGCGUUGUCCGGAUUUACUGGGUGUAAAGGGCGUGUAGCCGGGAAGGCAAGUCAGAUGUGAAAUCUGGAGGCUGAACCUCCAAAUUGCAUUUGAAACUGUUUUUCUUGAGUACUGGAGAGGCAGACGGAAUUCCUUGUGUAGCGGUGAAAUGCGUAGAUAUAAGGAGGAACACCAGUGGCGAAGGCGGUCUGCUGGACAGCAACUGACGGUGAGGCGCGAAAGCGUGGGGAGCAAACAGGAUUAGACACCCUUGUAGUC